rnacentral:rRNA from 1 species
GACGAACGCUGGCGGCGUGCUUAACACAUGCAAGUCGAACGAAGAGCGAUGGAAGCUUGCUUCUAUCAAUCUUAGUGGCGAACGGGUGAGUAACGCGUAAUCAACCUGCCCUUCAGAGGGGGACAACAGUUGGAAACGACUGCUAAUACCGCAUACGAUCUAAUCUCGGCAUCGAGGAUAGAUGAAAGGUGGCCUCUACAUGUAAGCUAUCACUGAAGGAGGGGAUUGCGUCUGAUUAGCUAGUUGGAGGGGUAACGGCCCACCAAGGCGAUGAUCAGUAGCCGGUCUGAGAGGAUGAACGGCCACAUUGGGACUGAGACACGGCCCAGACUCCUACGGGAGGCAGCAGUGGGGAAUCUUCCGCAAUGGACGAAAGACUGACGGAGCAACGCCGCGUGAGUGAUGACGGCCUUCGGGUUGUAAAGCUCUGUUAAUCGGGACGAAAGGCCUUCUUGCGAAUAGUGAGAAGGAUUGACGGUACCGGAAGAGAAAGCCACGGCUAACUACGUG